UAAUACGUAGGUGGCAAGCGUUGUCCGGAUUUACUGGGCGUAAAGGAUGCGUAGGCGGAUAUUUAAGUCAGAUGUGAAAACCCCGAGCUUAACUUGGGGACUGCAUUUGAAACUGGAUAUCUAGAGUGUGGGAGAGGAGAAUGGAAUUCCUAGUGUAGCGGUGAAAUGCGUAGAGAUUAGGAAGAACACCAGUGGCGAAGGCGAUUCUCUGGACCAUAACUGACGCUGAGGCAUGAAAGCGUGGGUAGCAAACAGGAUUAGAUACCCUGGUAGUCCACGCCGUAAACGAUGAGUACUAGGUGUAGGAGGGUCCAACCUUCUGUGCCGCAGUUAACACAAUAAGUACUCCGCCUGGGAAGUACGAUCGCAAGAUUAAAACUCAAAGGAAUUGACGG
rnacentral:rRNA from 1 species